GCGGAUAUAGAAAGUGUUUUCAUAGUGAUUUGAGAUUAUUAUAUUUUGUGUUUUGUUGUACAAUGUUCGUU
rnacentral:tRNA from 1 species